GUUGAGAUGGCAGAGUUGGUCUAAGGCGCCAGAUUAAGGCUCUGGUCCGAAAGGGCGUGGGUUCAAAUCCCACUCUCAACA
rnacentral:tRNA from 1 species